CGCACGAGCGCACCCUCGCCCCUAAUUGCCAGCACUUCGGGUGGGAACUUUAGGGGAACUGCCGGGUGAUAAACCGGAGGAAGGUGGGGAUGACGUCAAGUCCUCAUGGCCCUUAUGCCCAGGGCUACACACGUGCUACAAUGGCCGGUACAAAGGGUCGCAAAACCGUAAGGUCGAGCCAAUCCCAAAAAACCGGUCUCAGUUCGGAUUGGGGUCUGCAACUCGACCCCAUGAAGCUGGAAUCGCUAGUAAUCGUGGAUCAACACGCCACGGUGAAUACGUUCCCGGGCCUUGUACACACCGCCCGUCACACCACGAAAGUCGGUUGUACCAGAAGUCACUGUGCUAACCCGUAAGGGGGGCAGGUGCCUAAGGUAUGGUCGGUAAUUGGGGUGAAGUCGUAACAAGGUAGCCGUAGGGGAACCUGCGGCUGGAUCACCUCCUUU
rnacentral:rRNA from 1 species